rnacentral:lncRNA from 1 species
AAGAACUCAGAUUGAAAUCAACCUGGCUCUGAUACCAUAUCACUUUUGAGUAGUGUAAAAGAUAAUCUGAGUUUAGAUAAGAAUAGAGAAGAGAUUAGAGUAGAUUUAAGAGAUUAAGAGACUAAUGGAGAAUCAUUGUAAAAAGUGUAGAGAGAUUGAUUUGUUUAGAACUGUCUAACUUUCAUUAAUGAGAAGAGUUCACAAUAUAUAGAGAGACAGCUUAGGCGACUAGGGUUUAGAAUAAGCCACUAUUACAAAGGAUAAGCUUUUGCUUUAAUUCAAAUGCUCCAAUUAGCUCUCCUCUUAAGGAUAAGGUUGCUUUAGCUUUUGCCAGCCUUGGACAGGCUGUCAUGCGCUCCCCUUCUUCCCAUUCAACGGUCUUGAUGUCUUUGGUAGCAAGGCAAGACUCCUUCUCAUCUCACAAAGUUACUUAGGUAACUUUGUUUCACCUUUGGCCGAGUUACUCUCUCAACCUGUACGGCCUUGUACGGCUCAUGUACGGCCUUGUACGGAUGCUUACUUCAGCUUGCCUUCACUCUCCCUUAGAUCAUCCUUUCCUCAUCUCCUUAGCUUCUCAUAUAC